GACGAACAGAGCGAACGUUGUUCGGAAUCACUGGGCUUAAAGGGCGCGUAGGCGGGCUCUCAAGACCGGGGUGAAAUCCCACAGCUCAACUGUGGAACUGCCUCGGAUACUGGGGGCCUCGAGGGUGGUAGGGGUAUGCGGAACUAUCGGUGGAGCGGUGAAAUGCGUUGAUAUCGAUAGGAACUCCGGUGGCGAAGGCGGCAUACUGGACCACAUCUGACGCUGAGGCGCGAAAGCCAGGGGAGCAAACGGG
rnacentral:rRNA from 1 species